UACGUAGGUGGCAAGCGUUAUCCGGAAUUAUUGGGCGUAAAGAGCGCGCAGGUGGUUAAUUAAGUCUGAUGUGAAAGCCCACGGCUUAACCGUGGAGGGUCAUUGGAAACUGGUUGACUUGAGUGCAGAAGAGGGAAGUGGAAUUCCAUGUGUAGCGGUGAAAUGCGUAGAGAUAUGGAGGAACACCAGUGGCGAAGGCGGCUUCCUGGUCUGCAACUAACACUGAGGCGCGAAAGCGUGGGGAGCAAACAGG
rnacentral:rRNA from 1 species